rnacentral:lncRNA from 1 species
AACCUGGGUGAGGCACCUGCUGACCCAGAGCCUGUUUCCCCACUUGUGUCUCAGGGGACUAAGACCCACCCACCGCCUCAGACUGUGUGUGGCUAUAAGCCAGUGAAAAAGCCCACAUGUCCUCCUGGGGCCUACCUCUCAGACCCUGGCCUCCUAGGGGCUGGCUGCACCUUGGCAGGUACCUGCGGCCCUGGCCGUCGCGGCCUGUGCUUCCAGAAGCUGGGCAGGGCAGCUUGAGGGGAACCCUGGGAUGGAACUUGCAGCCACCCUGGCUGGGGACAGCUGGGACCACCCCUACUCCUGAGACACCACCAGCAAAUUGCAAAUUCCAAUGGCAGCUAGAUUUUUCACCCGAUCUAUGCAAUCAAGUCACAGGAGCUGCACGGCAAUGCAUCUGAGACCAUGCGGUGUCACCUUCACAGAAGUGCUCUGGCACAGAGACUCCAGCCUUGCCGGCCUCUCGCCUCCCAAGCACAGAAGCCUCCAGAACGCUGCUUCAAGGACAAGCCCAGGAGACCUGCCAUGCUCAUGCGUGUCUUUGGAAACAGGUUCUCUAAAUUUUGCUUGUGGUUUGUUAAAAAAAAAAAAAAAAUCAGAAGUGUAAUCAAAGACUUCAACAAACGAAGCACCAAAACACUUCAGCUUUGAAAUGUAGAAUUGCAAUGACUGGAAACACGGCUCGCAAAGCAAAAGACAUUAAAAUUCAGUCAUCCCUACAGAAGCCGGACAGGAAUUGAUCACAUCCACUAGUGAAGGCUCAGAAAGUGACAAGAUUUCAUUUGGAAAUCGUACCUGUGUCCUUGGGAACAUCCUGAACCUUGGGAAGCAUCAGCUCAUGGAGUUCCUAUUAACUGGAUAAAUUUAUAUUCUAGAUUGAAAUGGAAUGGAAUUAAGUAGGCCCACGGUUUUGCAGCACGUACAUUUGAAGAAUCAUUAAAAAUCAUCAUAGA